UACAGAGGGUGCAAGCGUUGUUCGGAAUUAUUGGGCGUAAAGCGCGUGUAGGCGGCUUUGCAAGUCGGGUGUGAAAGCCCUCAGCUCAACUGAGGAAGUGCGCCCGAAACUGCAGAGCUUGAGUACCGGAGAGGGUGGCGGAAUUCCCCAAGUAGAGGUGAAAUUCGUAGAUAUGGGGAGGAACACCGGUGGCGAAGGCGGCGACCUGGUCCGAUACUGACGCUGAGGCGCGAAGGCGUGGGGAGCAAACAGG
rnacentral:rRNA from 1 species